CCUCAUGUUUAAUUUUGGAUGGAUUCUGUCAUGAAUUCUACAACUGUAUCUUGUUUGUUAAUAUUUUUCCUCAAUGUCUAAUUUACUAUUAACCCUAUCCAGUAUAUAUUUUUUUAAACACUAUAGUUUUUAUCACUAGAAAUUCAAUAUGGUCCUUUAAAAAUAUUUUCCAACUUUUAAGUAUUUUCUCUAAUUUCUUGAAUAUAAGGAAUAUAAUUAUAAUAAAUAUUUUAAUAUGAUUGACCACUAAUUUUAUCAUCUACAUCAAUUCUGAGUCAGUUUUGUUGGUUGAUUUUUCUCCUCAAUCAAUAGGAUCUACUACAUGUAGUAUUUUUCUGUUUCUUUGUAUUUUGGGUAAUUUCUAUUAGAUGCCUGAAUUUUAUCUUUUGGGGUGUAGGGUAUUUCUGAAUUCCUGUAAAAAUUCUUGAGUUUUAUUCUGGAAAGUUGUCAAAUUACUUGGGAUUACUUUCAUCCAUUUAGUUUUGCUUUUAAGAUUUGUUAGGUCAGAGCACCAUUUAACUAGGGUUAAUUUUCAUUAUUGCCUGGGCAAAACCCCUCUGAGCUCUCUAACUACGGCUCUGUGAACUGUCAGGUUUUCCACCCAAGUCAGUGGUCCUGUAUUGGCUUUAAAGAUUGUUCCGGAGUUCCCAUCGUGGCGCAGUGGUUAACGAAUCCGACUAGGAACCAUGAGGUUGCGGGUUCGAUCAAUCCCUGGCCUCGCUCAGUGGGUUGAGGACUCGGCAUUGCCGUGAGCUGUGGUGUAGACGGCAGACGUGGCUUGGAUCCAGCAUUGCUGCGGCUCUGGCAUAGGCCGGGAGCUACAGCUCCGAUUAGACCCCUAGCCUGCGAACCUCCAUAUAUCACAGGUGCGGCCCUAGAAAAGACAAAAAAAAAAAAAAAGAUUGUUCCUUCUCAUCCUUUAAGGUAAUUAAUUCUUCCCACUGCAGAAAAGUUGUUCACUGAUACUCAGCUGAUUGCUUGAGAGGAAUUUUCUCCAGAUCUCAGACGCUGUCUCUCUGUGGAUGCAGCUGCUCUUCUCCACCACGUUACUAGCAGGUGAACCGCAGUUCCCCGGCCUCCCCAGGCUGCCGUCUUCUUCUCUUCAACUCAUGGAGACUCCUGGGCUCUGUUAGGUCUCCCCUCCCUGCACUGCCACCGGACAUAUUCUCCAGGGGCAGCAAUUUGGGAACAUUCCAGGGCUCAUCUCAUCACCCAUUUUCAGGGGUAACAGCUGUCCUCUGCUCCUUGCUAUUCCAUGUCAGGAUGGCUGGAUUCUCACGUACUUUACCUGUUUCAUGAGGGAGGUAAAUCUGGUCUCCAUUACUCCAUCAUAGUCAGGGAUGGAAAUGUCUUAAUUAUUUGUAAACCAUCCAGGGGGUCUCAUUCGUCUGCUUCUCCUCCCACUUCUCCACCUAUGCACGAAGCAGCAAUGGUCUUCAUUCAUGAAGUACUAUUUUUUUCAUUCUUUUGUGAUUAAAAACACAUGGUGCUUCAAAUUUUCUUCUGACUAAAUACAUGCCAUUGGUCUUGAUAUACAGUAUGGAAACGGUUUUUUACUGUUUGCAAUUGUAUUACUUUGGUUUAAUUUCCCCUUUUCAUCCGAUGGUUGUUUCAUAGAAGAUUUUAUUUUUAAUUUACAGAUGGAAGGGCCAGUUUGGUCCUUAUGUUAUGGAUUAUAUCUAACUUUAUGGCCUUGUGAUUGGAGUAUUUUUUGUAAUAUUUUUACAUAAGCACACUUACUGAUGUUUUAUUUGUGACCUAAAUAACAUAUAACCGAUCUUUUAAACACAAAUGUGUUUUUAAGAAUUAUUUUAUUUUUGUUCUUAUUUUCAAUAUUUUAAAAAUUUUCUGACCUCCAUUCAAUUCCCUAAAGUCCCCCUACCGUGAACUGUUUGCUUUCGACAACUGUUUCAGCAUACUGUAUAGAGACACUGCUCCAGUACAUUGAAUUAAUGAGAAUAACCAUUUUAGGCAGAUUCCCUAUUAAAGAGAUCCUUUCGUCUCCACCUGUGUAUUCGUCAAUUCACCAAAAAUGUGAGCCUAGUGUGAGCCCCACGGACACCGGGUUGAAGAUGGUCCUUGUCCCCGAGGAAGUGUGCUGACCUGCCGUGUUUCUUCCUCCUUGGGUUCUGCUCCAAUCACUCAUGGCUCUAUCCGUAUUUCAAAAUACAAUGCUUCAAAGACUUACUCCUACCUUAGAGUGUUCCUCAAAGUAUGGCAGAGCCUGUCUAGAAAAACUGUACUGGUGAUUACUGCAACGAGAUUGUGUGUCACUGUCACCUCGUCAUGUCCUUUGCAAAGUCUCUGGCUUCAACAAUUGGUAGGGCAUUCCCAUUACUAAGUAUAAAAUCAGUGGAGAAGUCACAGAAAAAAAUAGAUACGGGAUAAUUAAUACACAAUUAUAAUUGUAAAACUAAAACGGUCAAAAAAUCACAAUGAUUAAUAAUAAGUGUAUUGGUGAAAUGGAGAAAGUCAAAUGCUUCAAGUAGCACAGAGUUGCACACUCAGUAUUUUAAAUAUUUUAUAUAAAUAUUACUCAUGAAUAUUUUGUUCAUGAGUAAUAGAACAAAAUUAGACUAACUCCACCUCAGUUUUUAUUUGUAAAAUAUGAUAAGUUGUUGAUAAGAUCAGAACUCACAAAGGCAAGAGCUUUCUUGACACGUAGCAGGCACUGGGUAUAUGGUAGUUCUUGUUUUCAUUAUUAUUAAUGCAGUCUUACACAAAGAUAGACAUUUAAAAAGGUUUUUUUGAAACAAUGAUCUUGAGACAUAAAUAACUUAAAGGGCUUUCUGGGAUACAUUUUGGGGGAAUUUAGAUGUUUUGUCUACCAGUAGUUGGAAAGAAAGAGUAGUAGUCAAAUGUAAUUUCUGCUGACCUGAGUUUAUUUCCAGUAACACACAGUGGUCACAACAAAGCACUCCACUAUGACUUUGUAUAUCUCAAAUGUCAUGGGAGAAGCUGGAACUGCACAGGAGAAAAUCGUUGCCAGGCGUUCUGGUUCUCUUCUCUUAUUUAAAAACAGCUAACUCAACUCAUCCUUCAGUUUUCUGCUUAAAUAUGCUCACUUCCUCAGUGAAGCCAUCCCCUUUAGGCUACACUCCUCUAAGUGGCUCUAAUCCCAAAUUCCCUACCAUACGCUUCAUCACACAUUUUUCAUAGUUCUUCUUUCGGCUGUAUUUCUUCUCAAUAUGUUGCAAACUCCAUAAAAAGAGAAGACAUGUCUUUUUUCACUGUUCUUGCCCUAGCACCAUGCAGACUGUUUGGCACAAUGUUGGCGACUCAAUAAAUAUGAAAUAAAUGACUGAGUAAAUGAAUAAAUUCCCUAAAAGGCGUGCCAGUUUCACUGUACAGCCGGGUAGUUCUAGAAGCUGUGUCUGAAACGCCGGAGGACUUCCCAGCACACUCCUCCAGAGGCCUUAACAGAGUGAGGAGAUGUUGUGUGCAUCCCAGGACGACCUCUCCAUCGCUGACAAUCAUCGCAGACCUUCGGAGACCUUUAGGAUCGGCCCUGCCGUGGCACCAGCUAGACCUCCUUAGUCCAUAGCCAUGCACUGGGUGCGUACAUAUUCAGAGUCAACUAAACCAGUUUGUAGGGAACUAGCUCUAUACCAGGCUAAGAGGCAUGUGCUUUAUCAUGUCUUUUUUCUCAACGGCACAAAACUAUAAGGGGGCAGGAUGAUCAUUUCUAUAAUAAAUAAGGAAAAUGGCUACAAAAUAUAUCAAAACUUGAGCAAAGCCAUGUAGUUUGUUAGUAUAAGAAUGAAGAUGCACAUACAAGACACAAGCUUAUGUGAAGGGAGGAAAUGUUUUAAGACACAGUGAAGUGACUGUAUUUGAGCUGUUUGCACACGGGUGUAAGCUGGUCUGCACAUGCCGUCAAUGGACUCAACUGAGGCUCAAAUGAGCUUGGGUGUAGCAUAUAUUAGGAGUCAGAGUUGCCCUUACUGACAUUCGUUUGCUCUCAGACAUUAGAUAUUCUAGUUUUCUAAGUGUCCCUUUCCUUAUCUGCAAAGUGAAUCGACUGUGUGCCUUGCUUCUCUCCCAGGGUCAUUGCGAGGAAACCUGAUAACCCAUAUAUGAGUCAGAUGUGUUAAUACAGAGCUUCAAAGAUUUAAAGAGCCUGUUAACACACCUACCAUCUUGAUUCUCUUGUUCUAUUUCACUGAACAAAACAAGGUCUGUUCUCUCCCUUCUCCCACUGCAUUCGUAAAGUCCUAUGAACGUCGUCCCAGCAAAUUUACAAAGAGAAUUAUUUUCAGUCUCUGACAUAAUGAAAAUCAACUCACGGUCCCAGGAAAAUAGCAAUUUUUCUACACUAAGGUUUUGCUAUGUGUUAGCUAUCACUGAACUAGGUACGAAGUUAAGGUUUGAGGGAAUCAACACUGGGCAUGACUUUCAGACAUAACUCUGCAUUUAUUAGCACUACAACUCACGUUAUCUUUUUUUCCUCUGGCUGUACAUGCGACAUGUGAAAGUUUUAGGGCCGGGGAUCAAUCCCAUGCCACAGCUGUGGCAGUGCCGAAUCCUUAAGCUGCUGCACCACAAGGGACCUUCCUGCACUACAACUAUUAGUCUGAAAUCCUCACCAAUAAAAUGGGGAUAAUAAACGCUACAUGUCUUAAAAUCAUCAAAUUCCAUCAAAUUGUAAAUAGCAAAGUUAUGAAGAGUGUAUGGGGUAUUCACAUAGUCAAUUUUUAAGGAAGACAUGCAUUCAAAGGAUAAUGUUUUUUUAUAUCUAAACUCAAUGUUUCUUUGUUAUUUAAGAAAAACACAAAUGCCUUAUUUCUGAAAAGUACUUAUUCAUAACACUAACUAAACUGAUGAGGGCUGGAAUAUAUUUCUUUGACAACACUCUUCAGGCUCAGUUAGGUCUUUCAGAAGUGCAAUAUUUAUGACAACCCUCAGGAAAUUAAAAGGUAUGGUAUUUCCACAUCAGAAACAAGAAAAAAUAACUUAUGCCAUGACCAAACACAAAGCAAA
rnacentral:lncRNA from 1 species